rnacentral:rRNA from 1 species
GACGAACGCUGGCGGCGUGCUUAACACAUGCAAGUCGAACGGAAAGGCCCUGCUUUUGUGGGGUGCUCGAGUGGCGAACGGGUGAGUAACACGUGAGUAACCUGCCCUUGACUUUGGGAUAACUUCAGGAAACUGGGGCUAAUACCGGAUAGGAGCUCCUGCUGCAUGGUGGGGGUUGGAAAGUUUCGGCGGUUGGGGAUGGACUCGCGGCUUAUCAGCUUGUUGGUGGGGUAGUGGCUUACCAAGGCUUUGACGGGUAGCCGGCCUGAGAGGGUGACCGGCCACAUUGGGACUGAGAUACGGCCCAGACUCCUACGGGAGGCAGCAGUGGGGAAUAUUGCACAAUGGGCGGAAGCCUGAUGCAGCAACGCCGCGUGCGGGAUCACGGCCUUCGGGUUGUAAACCGCUUUCGCCUGUGACGAAGCGUGAGUGACGGUAAUGGGUAAAGAAGCACCGGCUAACUACGUG